rnacentral:lncRNA from 1 species
AAUUUUUAAAUUUUAUUAUUAUCUAAUUUAGCGACCGAUAAAUUAUUUUUAUAAAUUCGCCACUGCUUACCAUAAAAUACAAUUCACUACAUAUUUUUCUUAAACAACAAAUCAAGAAUAGAAAUAACCAUGUUGUUCGAAUCCCCUAAGUUGCCACGCUUCUCCAUAAACCAAAUGAUAGAUAGUCCAAAAUCAUCAAUAUUACAUUUUUUCAUAAAACCUCUACAAUUGUUUAUACAAAAACUCUAGAACCAAAUAUCCACUCUAUAUAACAUUCUUAUAUCCUCCUUUAAAACGUGAUCCAACGCUCUUAACUACAUCAUAACAAAAAGAAAAAGAAAAAAAAAAGUCCUACAUCACUUCCAUUUAACAAGCCAGGUCUAUUUCAAAUAACCAAAAUUCAAUGCCGUUGAACUACUAUUACAACAAUUAAAAAAAAAAAAACUGCAACGUUUGUUAACAUAAGGUGGACUAACAUUUUAAUCAUCGAUUUUUAACUUAUUCUCUACGUAAGCCUAGUCUGGUCAAACAAACCAAAGCAAUUCGAGAAACUUUCUGCCAAUCUAUGACUUCACCAAUUACCAAACAAAUUUACCAUUGCAUUUGUUUCAUGAAUAAUCAUAUUUCCUAUUGCCUCUCUUCAGCAAGGAUCCUAUAUCUCAGUUCAUUUUUUUAUAAAUAUCCACCAUAACCACAUAAUAGCGCAAUGCCCUUUUUUUUAUAGGAAUAAAUAUAUGAAUUUUGGAAAUCCACUUGUUAUAAACAAUGAAGCCUUUAUAAUCCAUAUAUAAAUAUAAAUACAUUCCUUGUGACACUGUCUCAAUUCUUGUGUGUAGCAUUCCCUCAAUAACGUACCCUUGCCUAGCCAAGCUAUAUCACUUCCUUAAAGUAACACCUCUUACUGCAUACACAAAAUGCUAAGCUUGUAUUCGAAAAUUCCAAAAUACACCAUUACAAUAAUAUUUAAUCAUUUAUAGUUAAUCAAUUAAUAUACAACAAAAUAAGAUGCCAGAAACCAAGAACGAGGACCAUCUUGCACAUUUUCCUCUUCAUUAUUUGUCAGUGUCUCUACCAUAACUGAUAUAAUUUACAUAGAUAAACAAUUUCCUUUAUAUUACAGCAGUUUCAACAUUAGCAAACACCAACUGCCUCUCCCUCUCCUUUCCAUGAAUAUAGCUUUUUGGGCAUUGUGUUGUGCUUAAGACUUAGUUUUAAAUUUUAGUGCAAACGUGCUAAUUUAUUAAAGUACAAAUUUCUAGAGAACAAGGUAGAACCAACACGUAUUGCUUAUAAAAAUAAGAAAAACAAAAUUAAAUCUAUAUCAAUAUAAUUCUAAUCUAAUUAACCACGAUUGUUUAAGGAUGAAAAUUAUAUUGAACUUAACAUAAAGGUAAAUGGAAGUGAGGUGAAAAUUCAAAAGUGAUAAAAGACUAAGGCUUUAGAAUCGAUCACUUUUAACUUCAUAAAUCCUAAUUAAAUAUCUAUUAAAUCUCCUGAAUUAGAGUAACAAUCUUUAAAUUAAUUCUCUAUUUACUCAAAUCAUGUGAAAUUUCUAAAGUAAAAUCUCUUUGCUUCAAAAGUAUUAAUAGUAAGCAUUUUACAUAUCCAUCUUGAAAAAAAUAAAUCAAAAAGUUAAUAAUUAAAAAUUGGUUGAAUGUUGUAAUAAUAGUUCAACAGCAUUGGUUGAACUGAGUUUGGAAUUGAGGUGGAAAGAGUUAUGAAUUGGUUGGAAAAUAGCUUGCAAUUUGCUAUACCCUUGAAAUGGGAACUUCAAAGAAAUGGGCUUGAAUAAGUUGGGCUGUCAUGGGUUAGAUGUGUGCUGAUUCAUUGACAUCAUUGAUGAUGUCAUGCUCAGAUGGCAGAUUGGUGGCCUGAGGUGGGAUCUGGCUGGUGACAUAGCACUAAAUUGGCUACUGACUUAAACAGAUGAUGUGGCUCUCCAUAUUAGGACCCGCAGCAACGUGGCAAUACAUCUGUCACUGAGGUGGGACCUUGUAAAAAUGUUGGAAUAAAAUUUAGCAGUAAUCCAUGUUGGAAUAAAUUAUUUUAUGUCUUUUCACCAACCAUUCCCUACUCUUAUCCUAAUUUAUAUUCAAAUUACCCUUCCAUAUAUUUUAUCUUAUAUUACAAAAAAGUUGUACUAAUUGCACUUAAUUGCUAAACAAAAUUGAUUAACAAAUACAAGUUAAGGAUUAUAAAUUAAAUAUCUCAAUAUUUUAAUUAACUCAAUAAUAGCACCACUUACAAUAGAUGCCGUGAUGCGUUCAGCUAAUACACCAUUUACAAUGCACUAUUCUUGUUUCAAAUUAAUAUUCUUGAACUUUGAUGCGAUGUUAGGCUGUAAAACAUGCUGUGAUCGUUUUCUAUACUUUUCUUUUACUAAAUAUUUCCUUACCAACUUUACUCUAUUUAUUUCCUUUGUCGUGCUUUUCAUUUCUUUUCUUGAAUGAUACGUUCCUUAUUUAGACUUAGUUCCUCUUUCCGAACUUGUCCUUUGAGGGUUCGCCAUGGAAGGCUCAGCCAUGGACAACUUUAUGUCUGGUUGUUGGAUUUGCUUGGUAAGGAUCUUCGGUAGCAGAUCAUCCUAAGCAAUGUGCUAUGGCUGACAAAGGAAAAGAUAAGAUUCAGGAUCAAGUAAAGGCAGCUACAGCCAUGACUAAGACCAAUGUUAGGGGUUUCGCUUCCUUGGUUUCUGCCAAGAUGAUCUUGGUCUUGAACCUAAAAAUUUGUUUAUCCCACCCAUGAGAGGUGAAACUUCUUGCCAUAAGGUUGAGUUAAAUACAUUUUGAAAUACUGUCUAACCAACCCAAGAGCGGGGGUGAAUUAGGUUUCUAAAAAUUAUACAAUGCUUGAACAAAACUUAAUGCAAAUCUUAAACGAAUUUAAAACAAUAAUAAAUAAAUCAACCAAAAUGUAAAAAGAUAAGGGAAGAGAGAUUCAAACACAGAUAUUUUUAUAUGGUUCGGCAAAUCUUGCUUACAUCCACGCCUCCAAACUCACCGGGUUUGAGGAUUCCACUAGUUAUCUUCCAAGACUUCAAGAACACUUACAAUUGAGUUCACUAGUGUCAAUCAACCUUUACAUCAAGAGAUUAUCCCCAAUCUCUUUACCCAAGUCUAUCACAACACUUACAAUCACUUAAAACAAAGAUUACAAGAGUGUUUUUCUCUCACACAAAAUAUAUGAUUACAAGUUUAUGCUUAAUGUGUGAAUAAAUUAAACAAGAACGAAUUUAAAGCUCAAUGAAUGUUGUAUUCUUGAUUACAAGCUCAAUGAUAACACUGUGAUCAACCCUUAUUUGAAUUUGAUUAAGCUUAUUUAUAGUUGGAGCUUAAAAAUAGCUGUUUUUGAUUUUCUGCCCAAAAUCGAAUCGUCGUUAAUAGUUAUCGGUUAACCAUUUUGACUGGUCCAAGUGACUGUUGAGAUGAAAUUUAAAUAAACGGUUGACCGUUUGCAACUAUUGGUUCGCUGUUAAUUUCUAGAGACCUGCAAAACAAAUUUCGGCUAUCCGUUCUUGCUAAACGGUUCAAGGUUAACAUGGAAUGACAUUCUGAAAAUUAUCAGUUAGCAGUUUGAAGUUAACAGUUCAGCGGUUGUUUCCAGUAACCUACAGAACAAAAUAAGCUUAUCCAUUUUUGUUAAACGGUUCAAGGUUAGCACAAAAUUCCUUUCUGGACAAUAUCAGUUAACCGUUUGAUAUAAACGGUUUGCCGUUUAAUUUCGAUAACUUGCAAAACACUCUAGCCUUAUCUGUUUUCGCUAAUAUGUUCAAGUUUAAGGAUUUAUCCCUCUCUAUAAAUUAUCGGUUAACCGUUUCAAAGUUAACGGUUCACGUUUACUUCCAGAAUCACAAUUUUAAUAAAAUUUCGCAGGGAAUGAUUUUCCGAUUAAAGUUAAACAAUUAUCCA